rnacentral:rRNA from 1 species
UACAGGGGGAUAACAGUUAGAAAUGGCUGCUAAUACCGCAUAAGACCACAGUACUGCAUGGUACAGUGGUAAAAACUCCGGUGGUAUGAGAUGGACCCGCGUCUGAUUAGGUAGUUGGUGAGGUAACGGCCCACCAAGCCGACGAUCAGUAGCCGACCUGAGAGGGUGACCGGCCACAUUGGGACUGAGACACGGCCCAGACUCCUACGGGAGGCAGCAGUGGGGAAUAUUGCACAAUAGGCGAAAGCCUGAUGCAGCGACGCCGCGUGAAGGAUGAAGUAUUUCGGUAUGUAAACUUCUAUCAGCAGGGAAGAAAAUGACGGUACCUGACUAAGAAGCCCCGGCUAACUACGUGCCAGCAGCCGCGGUAAUACGUAGGGGGCAAGCGUUAUCCGGAUUUACUGGGUGUAAAGGGAGCGUAGACGGCUGUGCAAGUCUGAAGUGAAAGGCAUGGGCUCAACCUGUGGACUGCUUUGGAAACUGUGCAGCUAGAGUGUCGGAGAGGUAAGUGGAAUUCCUAGUGUAGCGGUGAAAUGCGUAGAUAUUAGGAGGAACACCAGUGGCGAAGGCGGCUUACUGGACGAUGACUGACGUUGAGGCUCGAAAGCGUGGGGAGCAAACAGG